GAGAGGUGCAAACGUUAUUCGGAAUCAUUGGGCGUAAAGGGUGCGUAGGCGGGUUGUUAAGUUUGUCGUUAAAGACCUCGGGCCUAACCGAGGGAACAGCGAUGAAAACUGGCAGACUAGAGUAUGGAAGAGAGAAGUGGAAUUCUCGGAGUAGCGGUAAAAUGCGUAGAUCUCGAGAGGAACACCGAUGGCGAAGGCAGCUUCUUGGUCCAUUACUGACGCUGAGGCACGAAAGCGUGGGGAGCAAACAGGAUUAGAUACCCUGGUAGUCCACGCCGUAAACGAUGAUCACUAGAUGUCAGCCCCGUUUUUAGGGAUUGGUGUCGUAGCUAACGCGUUAAGUGAUCCGCCUGGGGAGUACGGUCGCAAGAUUA
rnacentral:rRNA from 1 species